GUUACUGAAAUGCAUUCCAUCAGCUUUUGAGGAUCGAGAUGCUGAAGCCCCUCCACCAGAAGUUUGAGGUGGACAAGUACGAAUAGUCUUCACACUCCCAACAGUAGAGAAUAUCUUCAUGAGAUUUUGGUGACAAUGAUCUUCAGGUAAGUUUUCAGUGACAACUAUACGAGAUUGCAACUCUUCCACAUCUGAUUGAGUUAAAGGAUGCUGACGUCUAACUUUCUUUCCAUCCUCACUAACUACAAGCUUUGAUGAGUUCCGCAAAAUGGAAGCAAGCUGAGAAUUACUAUUUAUGGCAGCUUUGAU
rnacentral:misc_RNA from 1 species